rnacentral:rRNA from 1 species
UACAGAGGGUGCGAGCGUUAAUCGGAAUUACUGGGCGUAAAGCGUGCGCAGACGGUUGCGUAAGUCAGAUGUGAAAUCCCCGGGCUUAACCUGGGAACUGCGUUUGAAACUACAAGGCUAGAGUGUGGCAGAGGGGGGUGGAAUUCCACGUGUAGCAGUGAAAUGCGUAGAGAUGUGGAGGAACACCGAUGGCGGAGGCAGCCCCCUGGGUUAACACUGACGCUCAGGCACGAAAGCGUGGGGAGCAAACAGG